UUGAUCCUGGCUCAGAAUCAACGCUGGCGGCGUGCCUAACACAUGCAAGUCGAACGCGAAAGCCCCGCAAGGGGUAAGUAGAGUGGCAAACGGGUGAGUUACACGUGGGUGACCUGCCUUCGAGUGGGGGAUAACGUCCCGAAAGGGACUCUAAUACCGCAUGACAUCCUGCUUUUGGAAAAGCGGAGAUCAAAGCUGGUGAUCGCAAGACCUGGCGCUUGAAGAGGGGCCCGCGCCUGAUUAGCUAGUUGGUGGGGUAACGGCCUACCAAGGCGACGAUCAGUAUCCGGCCUGAGAGGUCGGACGGACACACUGGGACUGAGACACGGCCCAGACUCCUACGGGAGGCUGCAGUGGGGAAUUGUUCGCAAUGGGCGCAAGCCUGACGACGCAACGCCGUGUGGAGGACGAAGAUCUUCGGGUCGUAAACUCCUGUCGAGUGGGAAGAAUGGUUCGGGGGUGAAUACCCUUCGGAAUUGACGGUACCACUAAAGGAAGCUCCGGCUAACUCCGUGCCAGCAGCCGCGGUAAUAAGGU
rnacentral:rRNA from 1 species